GACGAACGCUGGCGGCGUGCUUAACACAUGCAAGUCGAACGGAAAGGCCCUGCUUUUGUGGGAUGCUCGAGUGGCGAACGGGUGAGUAACACGUGAGUAACCUGCCCUUGACUUUGGGAUAACUUCAGGAAACUGGGGCUAAUACCGGAUAGGAGCUCCUGCUGCAUGGUGGGGGUUGGAAAGUUUCGGCGGUUGGGGAUGGACUCGCGGCUUAUCAGCUUGUUGGUGGGGUAGUGGCUUACCAAGGCUUUGACGGGUAGCCGGCCUGAGAGGGUGACCGGCCACAUUGGGACUGAGAUACGGCCCAGACUCCUACGGGAGGCAGCAGUGGGGAAUAUUGCACAAUGGGCGGAAGCCUGAUGCAGCAACGCCGCGUGCGGGAUGACGGCUUUCGGGUUGUAAACCGCUUUCGCCUGUGACGAAGCGUGAGUGACGGUAAUGGGUAAAGAAGCACCGGCUAACUACGUG
rnacentral:rRNA from 1 species